CAGUAGCCGCGGGAAUACAGAGGGUGCGAGCGUUAAUCGGAUUUACUGGGCGUAAAGCGUGCGUAGGCGGCUUCUUAAGUCGGAUGUGAAAUCCCUGAGCUUAACUUAGGAAUUGCAUUCGAUACUGGGAAGCUAGAGUAUGGGAGAGGAUGGUAGAAUUCCAGGUGUAGCGGUGAAAUGCGUAGAGAUCUGGAGGAAUACCGAUGGCGAAGGCAGCCAUCUGGCCUAAUACUGACGCUGAUGGACGAAAGCGUGGGGAGCGAACAGGAUUAGAUACCCGAGUAGUCCCUGUCUCUUAUAA
rnacentral:rRNA from 1 species